UAUUGGUUUCACCCAAAAGUUCAUUCAAGUUUUUCCUAAGAUGUUGUGGAAAAACCUGAACAAACAUUUUGGCCAACCCAGUAU
rnacentral:miRNA from 1 species